rnacentral:antisense_RNA from 1 species
CUCUGUGUGCUGCAUGGGGGUUGGAGCACUUGCUGACAAGCCUUGCAACAACCAUUGACAGGAUGUCCUCCACCUUUUCAGUCUGAUUUGCUCUUUGCCAUGCAGACCUGUGGAUGAAAAGCCAGAGUCCUCCAAGGUGAAGCUGGACUGAAUAUUUCUGUCCAUAAGACUAUUAGAAUCCCCCAAAGUGGGAUACCAGUGAGGACUUCACCAGCAGCUGCUGUCUCUCCAAUGCAGGUAGAUGAGCCUCAGAAAUAACCACUGCUUGUGGUUUGCUGUGUAUUCCUCUAGAUGUUUUUCUUUACACAUAUUAGUGAGUGUGGAGAGAGAGAGUGUGUGUGUUUUGUAAAUUUGAUUACACUGUGCAUUUAUUCCAAAAUCCAUUUCACUUUAUCGUUGGAACGUAAGCUCUGUGAAGGCAGAGAUUUUUGUUCAUUGCACUUGCUGUUAUAGCUGUUGUCUGUAACAGUGGCUGGCACAUGGUCACAUCAUAGUAGAAGCUCAAUAAAUAUUUGUUGAAUGAAUGAAAAAAUACGUCCAGGACAUCUUCAGAUUU